rnacentral:misc_RNA from 1 species
GGAACUCAAAUUUCGACAUCGAGAUUACAAAAGUGAAGAACAAGUUCACUCUCUCCAUCGGGUGGCAGCAGUGACUCAUCCUCUCUCACUUCAAUCACCGUCGCGUGACCAGGUUGAUGUUACGGAUUAUGGCAGGGACGAGUUCUUUGAUCCAUUAAGGGGGGAUCAUGGAAAACCAGAGGAUUCCAUGAAGGGAUUAGGAAGAACAUCUACUGAAAUUGCAGGUGAACCAUAUAGAGAUAUUGCUAUUCAUUUUCUGGGCAAGGAGUGGACAUCUUACAAGAAAG